CCUACGGGAGGCAGCAGUAAGGAAUAUUGGACAAUGGGCGCAAGCCUGAUCCAGCCAUGCCGCGUGCAGGAAGACGGCCCUAUGGGUUGUAAACUGCUUUUAUACGGGAAGAAACCCCACUACGUGUAGUGGGCUGACGGUACUGUAAGAAUAAGGAUCGGCUAACUCCGUGCCAGCAGCCGCGGUAAUACGGAGGAUCCAAGCGUUAUCCGGAUUUAUUGGGUUUAAAGGGUGCGUAGGCGGUUUUGUAAGUCAGUGGUGAAAGUUUUCAGCUUAACUGAAAAAUUGCCAUUGAUACUGCAGGACUUGAGUACAGAUGAGGUAGGCGGAAUGUGACAAGUAGCGGUGAAAUGCAUAGAUAUGUCACAGAACACCGAUUGCGAAGGCAGCUUACUAAAGUGUAACUGACGCUGAGGCACGAAAGCGUGGGGAUCAAACAGGAUUAGAUACCCUGGUAGUCCACGCCCUAAACGAUGAUUACUCGAUGUGUGCGAUAAACAGUACGCGUCCAAGCGAAAGCGUUAAGUAAUCCACCUGGGGAGUACGGUCGCAAGAUUGAAACUUAAGGAAUUGACGG
rnacentral:rRNA from 1 species